AUUUCACUUUGAUACAUCGAUUCCCGUACGAUCACAGAAGUUAAGCAACGUCGAGCCUGGUCAGUAUUUAAGCAGAUGACCGCUUGGGAAUACCAAGUUUUGUAAG
rnacentral:rRNA from 1 species